RRNACCGGUUGAUCCUGCCGGAAGCCACUGCUAUUGGGGUUCGGCUAAGCCAUGCGAGUGGUGGGCGUCCCGCAAGGGAUGGCCCCGCACACGGCUCAGUAACACGUAGUCAACCUACCCUCGGGACGGGGACAACGCCGGGAAACUGGCGAUAAUCUCCGAUAGGAGAGGGACGCUGGAAUGCCCCCUCGCCUAAAUCCUCUGGGGCCCGAGGAUGGAACUGCGGCCUAUCAGGCUGUUGGUGGUGUAACGGACCACCAAACCUACAACGGGUACGGGCGAUGGGAGUCGGAGCCCGGAGAUGGGGACUGAGACAAGGCCCCAGGCCCUACGGGGCGCAGCGGGCGCGAAAACUCCGCAAUGCGCGAAAGCGUGACGGGGGAACCCCAAGUGCCGUUGGUCUUUUGAUCGACGGCUUUUCGGGAGUCUAAGAAGCUCCCGGAAUAAGGGCUGGGUAAGUCGGGUGCCAGCCGCCGCGGUAAUACCCGCAGCCCAAGUGGUGGUCGCGAUUAUUGGGCCUAAAGCGCUCGUAGCCGGGCCGGCAAGUCCCUUGUGAAAUCGGACGGCUUAACCGUUCGGCUUGCAAGGGAUACUGUUUGUCUUGAGGCCGGGAGACGUCUGAGGUACUCCGGGGGUAGCGGUGAAAUGCUCUAAUCCUCGGGGAACCACCAGUGGCGAAGGCGUCAGACGAGAACGGACCUGACGG
rnacentral:rRNA from 1 species